CCCCAUCGGCCCCGCGGCUUGAUUUUCAGAAACAACCAACAUGUCGUCUGAGAUGCUGCCAGUGUGUCUUGCGACUCCUAAUGUGGGAAGAGAGCCAGGUGUAAGUGAUGGUGAAGAGGAUGGGCAGAAGCCAAGCUUAGAUGCAGGGACUGAGCCAAUAUCUAAGCGGCAGAUGAAGAAGCUGAUGAAGCAGAAGCAGUGGGAAGAACAGCGAGAACUUCGGAAGGAAAAACGAAAAGAAAG